rnacentral:pre_miRNA from 1 species
UUAGUACUCCCUCCGUUCGGAAUUACUUGUCGUAGAAAUGGAUGUAUCUAGACGUAUUUUACUUCUAGAUACAUCCAUUUCCGAGACAAGUAAUUCCGAACGGAGGGAGUAUGUG